GUGUGUGUGUGUGUAAUUAGCUGUUCAGUUACUGUAGAUAAAGCUUUGAGGCCAUUUUCAGUUUUGUUUUUAUAAUCUGUACUUAACAGACUUCAGCUGUCCUUGUACAGGAUCCUGCCUGUCUUACCAGCCCUUAUCCUGUUAAUCCUUUCUCCCCCUUUCUGAGUGUAUGAUGCUGGCUUCAGGGUGUCCCUCUCUGUCACUGCUGCACUUACACGUCCACUUGUCUCUUUCCAAUGUGUUGGUUCUCUUGGGUGAUUUGUUUGUUUGUUUGUCUUGUUGUUGUUCUCUAUUUGUGGUCUUGGCUCAUCCAUGGUUUCCCAUGUCACCUCUUGUUUUAUUUCUUUGCCCUUGAGAUCUUAGCAAGUUUUUCUGUAUUUUGUAACAUAGGCAGUGAGGUUUUCUUAGCCUGAAUUAUAGUUCCUGCCAUACUGGGUUCACUUCGCCUGGUGUUUUAAAUGUUUGUUCCUAUGGGCUCACAUACACAUACAUACAUGUGAGCAUGUGUAUGUGUGUGUGUGUGUGUGUGUGUGUGUGUGCGUGCGCGCGCGCGUGUGUGUGUCUGAUUAUUUGCAUAAUCAUUGCAUUAUUUAUUUUCUUUUUCCUUCUGCUUAAAUAGGGGGAACAUUUGUGGAGACGGUCUACGUAGUGUGAUUUGUUGUGGGUAACGUCUUGCUUCUUUACUACUUACACUAUGCUAUCAUCCCCAAGUGACAGCUCCGGCCUGUGUUGAAAUGAGUCAGCUGGAGUUGCUCUUAACUUUGGAAGGAAGAUCAUUGCAUACCUGUUGGCUAUUUCUUCUCUUUAGUUCUCAAUCUUUCUUUCUCUCUCUCUCUCUCUCUCUCUCUCUCUCUCUCUCUCUCGUACACACAUGCACAUACACACAUUGCAAAACUAUCCCUUCAUUCCCAGACAUAAUAAAAGUCAAUAUUGGCAUUGGAAAAGAGACAUAACCCUCACAGCGGCCCAUGCAGCGGCCUUCACAGUGCAGAAACAUUUCUUUCUUUUGUUUGCUUUUUUUGUUAUCACACAGCAGAUAGCUGGGGUCAUAGCAGCUCUAGACUGAAGUCCCAGAUCUGUCACCUACUAGCCAUAAUGAUGAGCAGGCACUACUCUGUUUAAAACCUCAGGCAUCUGACCUAUCCUCUUGAAGGUGGUGGUAGGGCCCACCUUUACAGCUGCGCAGAAGAAAAAGGAGUCAACUUCUUGCCAGAGAAAAUGCAAACGAACCCUCUAACUUUGCCUGCUAGGCCACAAGGCUAGGCGUUCUUGAAGUAGCUGAGACUUCAGCAGACUCUACCCAACCUUGCUACUCAGCACCUGCUGUCCUCCUGACAAGAUGAGUUCCUGCUAACCCAUUCCAGAAAAUAAAGGACACCUUUCCUCUGUUGUGGAAGACACUGGGCGGAGGAGACAGAUCUGUAGCUGAAAUCCCAACCAGCCUGUGUUGUAUUUCCCACACUUGGCUCAUUCACGUUUCUAUCACUUUCAUGCUCAAUGACUCGAACUGUCUGGCGGUGACUCAGCCAUCCUUAAGCAGACAACAGAUUAAACAAC